GAUGAACGCUGGCGGCGUGCUUAACACAUGCAAGUCGAACGGAAAGGCCCAAGCUUGCUUGGGUACUCGAGUGGCGAACGGGUGAGUAACACGUGGGUGAUCUGCCCUGCACUUCGGGAUAAGCCUGGGAAACUGGGUCUAAUACCGGAUAGGACCACUUCUUGGAUGUUGUGGUGGAAAGUUUUUUCGGUGUGGGAUGAGCUCGCGGCCUAUCAGCUUGUUGGUGGGGUAAUGGCCUACCAAGGCGUCGACGGGUAGCCGGCCUGGGAGGGUGUACGGCCACAGUGGGACUGAGAUACGGCCCAGACUCCUACGGGAGGCAGCAGUGGGGAAUAUUGCACAAUGGGCGCAAGCCUGAUGCAGCGACGCCGCGUGGGGGAGGACGGCCUUCGGGUUGUAAACUCCUUUCGCUAGGGACGAAGCGUUUUGUGACGGUACCUGGAGAAGAAGCACCGGCUAACUACGUG
rnacentral:rRNA from 1 species